CCAACACAGCCUUUGGCUGCCUCCCCCUUCUCCUUCCCCUGGAGGGAAGCGGGCAGCAUCUCCCUUUGGGAUACAGGGAGCAGCCUGCUCCUCUCCCACCCCACCCCCCUCCAAGUUGAUCCUGGAUGAGGGGGGUGUUGAGCCCAUUCAAAUGCUGCAGGAGAAGGUGGGGAGGAUGAUGAUGAGGGUACAAAAAGAGGAGGAAUGGGAUGGAAGGACCCCCCAACUCCAAACCCACAGAUCUUGGCAGAAGGAAUGGCACAGGGGUUAGCAGCUUAAGAGUGUUGUGAACAGAGUAGCCUUGAAGCAGAAAAUGGCCCUGAUGCAGUCAAGACUACAAGCGCAGAGACGGAUUCUGUAAAAUGCAGAAGGUGAUGAGUGACAACAUUGCCAGUUCAGAGGUACAACAGUGGUGCUUCAGGGAGUUCUCUUACAAGGAAGCGGAGGGUCCCCGAGCGGCUUGUGCCCAACUCUAUCAUCUUUGUCGUCGGUGGCUGAAGCCAGAAAGGCACACCAAGGCUCAGAUCCUGGACCUGGUGAUCCUGGAGCAGU